GACGAACGCUGGCGGCAUGCCUAACACAUGCAAGUCGAGCGAGUAGAUCCCUUCGGGGUGAAGCUAGCGGCGGACGGGUGAGUAACACGUGGGCAACCUGCCUCAUAGAGGGGAACAGCCUUCCGAAAGGAAGAUUAAUACCGCAUAAGAUUGUAGCUUCGCAUGAAGCAGCAAUUAAAGGAGCAAUCCGCUAUGAGAUGGGCCCGCGGCGCAUUAGCUAGUUGGUGAGGUAACGGCUCACCAAGGCGACGAUGCGUAGCCGACCUGAGAGGGUGAUCGGCCACAUUGGGACUGAGACACGGCCCAGACUCCUACGGGAGGCAGCAGUGGGGAAUAUUGCACAAUGGGGGAAACCCUGAUGCAGCAAUGCCGCGUGAGUGUUGACGGCCUUAGGGUUGUAAAGCUCUUUUACCCGGGACGAUAAUGACUGUACCGGGAGAAUAAGCCCCGGCUAACUUCGUGCCAGCCGCCGCGGUAA
rnacentral:rRNA from 1 species